rnacentral:rRNA from 1 species
GACGAACGCUGGCGGCGUGCCUAAUACAUGCAAGUAGGACGCAGUUGCGAACGGGUGAGUAACGCGUAGGUAACUACCUAUUAGAGGGGGAUAACUAUUGGAAACGAUAGCUAAUACCGCAUACUAGUAGAUGGACCUGCGUUGUAUUAGCUAGUAGGUAGGGUAAUGGCCUACCUAGGCAACGCUACAUAGCCGACCUGGAAAGGUGAACGGCCAAACUGGGACUGAGACACGGCCCAGACUCCUAAGGGAGGCAGCAGUAGGGAAACUUCGGCAAUUGGGGGAACCCUGACCGAGCAAAGCAGCGUGAGUGAAGAAGGUUUUCGGGUCGUAAAGCUCUGUUGUUAAGGAAGCGGUACUUAACCAGAAAGGGACGGCUAACUACGUGCCAGCAGCCGCGGUAAUUC